rnacentral:misc_RNA from 1 species
GAUGAAGAACGCAGCGAAAUGCGAUAAGUAAUGUGAAUUGCAGAAUUCAGUGAAUCAUCGAAUCUUUGAACGCACAUUGCGCCCGCUAGUAUUCUGGCGGGCAUGCCUGUUCGAGCGUCAUUUCAACCAUCAGGCCCUGCUUGUGUUGGGGUCCUGCGGCUGCCCGCAGGCCCUGAAAACCAGUGGCGGGCUCGCUAGUCACACCGAGCGCAGUAGCACAUCUCGCUCAGGGCGUGCGGCGGGUUCUUGCCGUAAAACACCCCCUUUUUACCAAGGUUGACCUCGGAUCAGGUAGGAAUACCCGCUGAACUUAAGCAUAUCAAUAAGCGGAGGA